rnacentral:rRNA from 1 species
UACGUAGGGUGCAAGCGUUGUCCGGAAUUAUUGGGCGUAAAGCGCGCGCAGGCGGUCCUUUAAGUCUGAUGUGAAAGCCCACGGCUCAACCGUGGAGGGUCAUUGGAAACUGGGGGACUUGAGUGCAGGAGAGAAGAGUGGAAUUCCACGUGUAGCGGUGAAAUGCGUAGAGAUGUGGAGGAACACCAGUGGCGAAGGCGACUCUGUGGCCUGUAACUGACGCUGAGGCGCGAAAGCGUGGGGAGCAAACAGG